GAUGAACGCUGGCGGCGUGCCUAAUACAUGCAAGUCGAGCGAACAGACGAGGAGCUUGCUCCUCUGACGUUAGCGGCGGACGGGUGAGUAACACGUGGAUAACCUACCUAUAAGACUGGGAUAACUUCGGGAAACCGGAGCUAAUACCGGAUAAUAUAUUGAACCGCAUGGUUCAAUAGUGAAAGACGGUUUUGCUGUCACUUAUAGAUGGAUCCGCGCCGCAUUAGCUAGUUGUUAAGGUAACGGCUUACCAAGGCAACGAUGCGUAGCCGACCUGAGAGGGUGAUCGGCCACACUGGAACUGAGACACGGUCCAGACUCCUACGGGAGGCAGCAGUAGGGAAUCUUCCGCAAUGGGCGAAAGCCUGACGGAGCAACGCCGCGUGAAUGAUGAAGGUCUUCGGAUCGUAAAACUCUGUUAUUAGGGAAGAACAAAUGUGUAAGUAACUAUGCACGUCUUGACGGUACCUAAUCAGAAAGCCACGGCUAACUACGUG
rnacentral:rRNA from 1 species